GCCCAGAUGGCGGAAUUGGUAGACGCACUCGUUUCAGGUGCGAGCGCCGCAAGGCAUAGGAGUUCGAAUCUCCUUCUGGGCACAA
rnacentral:tRNA from 1 species